UUUCCGUAGGUGAACCUGCGGAAGGAUCAUUAUAAAUGAAAAACGAAUAACUUCAGGGAAGAAGGGAACCUGCACGGUGACCUCCCCUGUCGGGCCACCCAAUACCUUCAAAAUGCCGCCGUCCUAGCGGUGGCAGACGAAAAAAAAACAAGAAAAACAAAAUAGAAACAGGCACGGUGGCCCGUUCACCUUCACACAACCCUCCGAGUACCGCAUCCAUGUUGCUUCCCCGCAAAUCCACCUCUGUGGUGAGCGCGGGGGGGGUCCGCAUCAAAUUCACCUGAAUGUCACAGCAGUCAGACAGCCAUUCAUGGAAAAAAUAAAACUUUCAACAACGGAUCUCUUGGUUCCC
rnacentral:misc_RNA from 1 species